GACGAACGCUGGCGGCAUGCCUAACACAUGCAAGUCGAACGGAACUUGUUGAAUGAAGUUUUCGGAUGGAUUUUGACAAGUUUAGUGGCGGACGGGUGAGUAACGCGUGAGCAACCUGCCUUUCAGAGGGGGACAACAGUUGGAAACGACUGCUAAUACCGCAUAACGUAUUUCGGAGGCAUCUCUGAGAUACCAAAGAUUAUAUCGCUGAAAGAUGGGCUCGCGUACGAUUAGAUAGUUGGUGGGGUAACGGCCUACCAAGUCGACGAUCAGUAGCCGACCUGAGAGGGUGAUCGGCCACAUUGGGACUGAGACACGGCCCAAACUCCUACGGGAGGCAGCAGUGGGGAAUAUUGGGCAAUGGGGGAAACCCUGACCCAGCAACGCCGCGUGGAGGAAGAAGGUUUUCGGAUCGUAAACUCCUGUCCUCAGGGAAGAGCAGAAGACGGUACCUGAGGAGGAAGCCCCGGCUAACUACGUG
rnacentral:rRNA from 1 species